rnacentral:ncRNA from 1 species
ACAGGGGAGCUUCGGCUGAGAUGCGAGAGAUCGCGAACCCUUUAACCUGAGAUGGAUAAUACCGGCGUAGGGAGUUUU